AGAGUUUGAUCCUGGCUCAGAAUCAACGCUGGCGGCGCGCUUAACACAUGCAAGUCGCACGAGAAAGCGGGGGUAACUCCGUGAGUAAAGUGGCGUACGGGUGAGUAACACGUGGGUAAUCUGCCCUCUAGUGGGGAAUAACCCUGGGAAACCGGGGCUAAUACCGCAUAAUCCCGAAAGGGGAAAGCAGCAAUGCGCUGGAGGAGGAGCCCGCGGCCGAUUAGUUAGUUGGUAGGGUAAUGGCCUACCAAGGCUUUGAUCGGUAGCCGGCCUGAGAGGGCACACGGCCACACUGGCACUGAAACACGGGCCAGACUCCUACGGGAGGCAGCAGUGGGGAAUCUUGCACAAUGGGGGAAACCCUGAUGCAGCGACGCCGCGUGAGCGAUGAAGCCCUUCGGGGUGUAAAGCUCUUUCGGCAGGAACGAUAAUGACGGUACCUGCAGAAGAAGCUGCGGCUAACUACGUGCCAGCAGCCGCGGUAAUACGUAGGCAGCAAGCGUUGUUCGGAGUUACUGGGCGUAAAGAGUGUGUAGGCGGUUCUCUAAGUUUGGUGUGAAAUCUCCCGGCUUAACUGGGAGGGUGCGCCGAAAACUGGAGGGCUUGAGUGCGGGAGAGGAGAGCGGAAUUCCUGGUGUAGCGGUGAAAUGCGUAGAUAUCAGGAGGAACACCUGCGGUGUAGACGGCUCUCUGGACCGCCACUGACGCUGAGACACGAAAGCGUGGGUAGCAAACAGGAUUAGAUACCCUGGUAGUCC
rnacentral:rRNA from 1 species